rnacentral:rRNA from 1 species
UACGUAGGGUGCGAGCGUUGUCCGGAAUUAUUGGGCGUAAAGAGCUUGUAGGUGGUUUGUCGCGUCUGCUGUGAAAAUCCGGGGCUCAACCCCGGACUUGCAGUGGGUACGGGCAGACUAGAGUGUGGUAGGGAGACUGGAAGUUCCUGGUGUAGCGGUGGAAUGCGCAGAUAUCAGGAGGAACACCGAUGGCGAAGGCAGGUCUCUGGGCCAUUACUGACACUGAGA